rnacentral:lncRNA from 11 species
UGGGGGAGGAAGACAAUAUAAUAUUAUUGUUGUUCAUUUACUUACAAAGGUCUGCCUUAAGAAGUGUGCCCUUACUUGCCUAAAUAUACAUCAGGGUCUGCAAUACAGACAAAGAUGAAGGGCUGCCAGGCCCAGCAUCUGAGUCAGUAGCAAGCAGGGAACAUCAACAGCUGCAGCUUGACACUUAGGAAGCUACUCCUGGAGUGCAGGACCAAGUGCCUCAGGUAAGUGGGAGUCUUGAGUUAACUCAGGAUCAGGAGAGCAAUGAGACAGAGUUCAGUGUCCCGGAAAGACUGCAGCUGAGGACUGAUGCUCUUCAGCUGGCACAGAGAAGGGCCAACAGGUGAGAGCAUUUGUGCUAUGGGGCAUAAGGAAUGGCAGUUUGAAUUUGGUCUUUGCUGGGAGCAAUGUUUGGAAGCUGAUACAGCAUGGAGCUCUGUGUACUGACCUUGUGUGUAUCUUCAUGCUUUGGAACUUGGAUUACACAUAGACUUGGAUGAUUUGGCAGUUUAUGAUCUUCUGCUUAAGCCAACUUUUGGUAAGUGACAAGCAGCUGAGGAAGAGACUUUUAAUGGAUCAACACUGCACUCUUAAUGGUAUACUAUUGGAUUUUUAUGUAGUAGUAUUUUAUGUCAUGAUUCAUUUAACAUGUUACUU